rnacentral:lncRNA from 10 species
AUGUCUGGUACUCUUGAUAUCCUGCAAAUGAAGAAGAAAGAUAUUGUCAAAUUCCUUGUGGAAGAAACCCACUUAGGUGGCACCAAUCUUGACUUCCAAAUGGAACAGGACAUCUCCAAAAGGAAAAGUGAUGGCAUCUACCUUAUAAAUCUGAAGGGGCCUGAGAGAAGCUUGUGCCGGCCACUCAUGCCACUGUGGCCUUCGAAAACCCAGCUGUUUCCCGUGUCAUACCCUCCAGGAAUACUAGCCAGCGGGCUGUGCUGAAGUUUGCUGCUGCCACUGAAGCCGCUCUCACUGCUGGCCACUUCACUCUUGGAACCUUCACUAACCAGAUCCAGACAGCCUUCUGGGAGCCACGUCUUCUGAUGGUUACUGAUCCUGGGGCUGACCACCAGCCUGUCACAGAAGUGUUUCAUGGUAACCGGCCUACCAUGGCUCUUGGUCACAAAGAUUCUCCUUGACACUGCGUGGACACUGCCAUCCCAAGCAACGAGAAAGGAGCUCCUGAGUGGGUCUGCUGUGGUGGGUGCUGGCAGGGAAGUUCUGUACAUGUGUAACACCAUCUCCUGUGAUCACCAUAGGAUCUCAUGCCUGAGCUCUACUUCUGCAGAGAUUCUAAAGAUAAGAACAGGUCACUGCUGAAAGGCAGUGACCAAGAAGGACCUUAAGAGCAAAUGAACUGCCAUCCGAGGUUGCAGACUUGUCUGAAGGUGUGCAGGUGCUCUCUGUCCCUGUUAAGUAGGUCCCUACUGAAGAACACAGCACUCAGACUGCCACUGAAGAUGGGUCUAGACCAGGUGCAGCGGCUCAUGCCUGUAAUCCUACUAUUUUGGGAGGUCGAGGUGAACAGGUCGCUUGAACC